GAACGCGAAGAACCUUACCAAGUCUUGACAUCCUUUGACCACUCUAGAGAUAGAGCUUUCCCUUCGGGGACAAAGUGACAGGUGGUGCAUGGUUGUCGUCAGCUCGUGUCGUGAGAUGUUGGGUUAAGUCCCGCAACGAGCGCAACCCUUGUCAUUAGUUGCCAUCAUUCAGUUGGGCACUCUAAUGAGACUGCCGGUGACAAGCCGGAGGAAGGUGGGGAUGACGUCAAAUCAGCACGGCCCUUACGUCCGGGGCUACACACGUGUUACAAUGGGGGGUACAGAAGGUCGCUACCUGGUGACAGGAUGCUAAUCUCCAAAACCUCUCUCAGUUCGGAUUGGAGUCUGCAACCCGACUCCAUGAAGCUGGAUUCGCUAGUAAUCGCGCAUCAGCCAUGGCGCGGUGAAUACGUUCCCGGGUCUUGUACACACC
rnacentral:rRNA from 1 species